ACUCAGCUAAGAGGACUUUGCAGUUGAGGCUGAAUCUUGAUCCAUGUAGUCCAUUCCCGAUGGUGCUAUUUAGAAGGCCUUUUGUUGUCUGAGCAAAGUUGUCUUCCUGGCCUUACUACUGAAUCUUGGCAAAGGAUCAAUGGGUGUGAAUCAUGGCAAUACAGUGAAAGACAGUGAUUUACUGCUUUUGAGGGCGUGCAUGUAUAUGAUUAACGGAUGGAAGUGCAGGACUCCAAGAUUUACUUCCUUCCCUUUCCAGCAGAAUUACCUGAGACGAGUAAAAUCUACUGGUGGAGUCACUCCAUUAUUCUUAUCUGUGGAGAUCUAGAUCUUGAUUUGAAAGUUUCUGAGAAAAUCUUCAGCUCAGACUUGAGGGUCAACUUUACCAGCUGAAGGAUCUGCAUUUACUGCUCAACCACAUCUAAUUUGAUGUCCUCUGCAGAUUUAAAAUGUGUGCCUUCUUUUCCGUCACCAAGUCAUCCCUGGGUUACUACUGAACAUCCUUCUCAAUUCCCCCCGACCCAUGGAUGGCUGUUCUCCAUUGUCUGUUUCACCAGAUGUCCUCAAAACAAACAGACAGAAGAAGGAAGUGGCUAAUGGAGCUGUGGAGUCCAAGUGUGACUGCCAAGAGGAAUCCAGCAAAGCCAAAAAGCCCAAGCAUGUAGCCCUGCCCGAAGCACGCCACACGCAUGGAAAACCCAGAGGAAAUGAGUGAGGAUCAAUGGGAAGAAGAGAGCCAGCCAGGUUCGAUGCCUUCUCCAUCCGUCAGUGAGGGUGUGGAGAGCCUGCAGGCGUGUGCCUCCCUCUGUAACUUGCUAUUCCUUGUGUAAUGUCAAGUGGAAGUGUGAAGCACCACAAACUGCUCUGAGCAGAGCCCACUUCCCUUCACCCACGGAGAGCGUGAAGCAGUUACACCAACAUCAAUCAAGGAAAACCCACAGGCUGAGCUCACACGGUUGAAGCAGGAAGUUGAAGAUUUGUCCAGGAGCAGAUAGCUGAAGAGAGAGAGAGAGAAGAGAGAACGGCUUACAGCUCAGGUCCUCUCUCCAUGCUUAGGAACCACUACAAAUGCUACUGCCUUGAGUCUCAUUUUGUUUCCCUCUGGAAACCACAUGUGUACCUUGUUUGCAACAGUAUGGGCUCACAGGCAGAAGGAAUUUUCCUUGUCUUGGAUGAGACUUUUGACUUGGACUUUUGGGUUAAGUUCUGGAGACCAGAAGGCCAAAAUCAAAAGUAUGGGCAGGCUUGAUUUCUUUAGAAGACUCCAGCGGAGAACUGUGUCUCCUUGCUUCUGAUUCUACAUCUCCAUCCAUGGGCCACUGUUUCAGCAACCUCAGCCAGUGCAACACAACCUCAGCCAAGAAGAGUAUGCAGAGAAAGGAGUCCCCUACCUGCCACAAAACUGUUGUCUGAAAACUGUCUCAUAUUGUCUCAAGUUGUCAUUCAUUGUGAAUUAGACCUGUUUAACAUGUAAUCUGCAACAUGCUUCACUGUCUAAUUUUCCAGAGCCCCUCAUAUAAGGAACUGUAUUAUUGGUAUAAUCAUCAUGGUGAAGAAGUUGGUAUGUGGGGGAGAGAUGACAGAAACAGAGAGUAAGUCAGAGCUGGCUGCCUGACAGAUAAAAAGGAAAUGACCAAAAAAAAAAAAAAAGACACAGAAGAAUACUUUGUUGUCCACACAGAAAAGGGAAGUGUAGGUAAGACAGCAGUAGACUAAGAUUCUUAAGACUCAAGUUCUAGUCUUAUUUAUUAGCUAUGGGAGGCCUUGAGGGAGUUCUAGAAUUAAGUGAUCUCUCUUUAUAAAAUAGGAACAGUAAUAACUUCCUGGCUAACUCCCUGGCUGUCUCACAAUGCUGUAGUAGUAAGAAAUAAUUUUAUAAUUAAAGACUAUUUUAGGGCUGAUUACAUUUUUGGGCAGUGGCUCAUACAUGUAAUUUCAACAUUUUGGGAGGCCAAGGUGGGCGGAUUGCUUGAGCCCAGGAAUUCAAGACCAGGCUGGGCAACACAGACCUUGUCACUACAAAAGAAAAAAACAUUAGCUAGGCGUGGUGAUGUAUGCCUGUGGUCCCAGCUACUCAGGAAGCUGAGACAGGAGGAUCACCUGAGCCUGGGAGGUCGAGGCUACAGUGAGCCAUGAUCACACUACUGCACUCCAGCCUGGGAAACAGAGUGAGACUCUGUCUCAAAAAAAAAAAAAAAGGAAUAUUUUACACUUCAAGGUUCUAUACAAAUGUAAAAUAUCAUUCUAUUACUUAUUUAUAAUGCUGAUUAUUCUUUAAAUGACUUUAAAAUGUUAAUCUCUGCUUGAGCCUACGGAGAAGUAUGUAACAAAUUUGUGAAGGAUUGGCAUUAAACAUAGUCAAAAUAAAACAUAGAAAUUAUGGUAAAUAAUUUAACUGGUAAAAUAAUCUAAGUGGUAGUUCUCAGGUAAGUGGAAAUUCGAUUAGCUGAUUGUUUAGGAUUCUUGGUUAUAAGUGACAGAGACCUGACUAAAAGUACAUGAAGCACAUAACUGAGAAGGUUGUGGUAUGGCUCAGCAGAAAUGGGAAAAUCUUGGGACUGGUUCGUGUUUUAUUUACAUUAUCUUUGUUCCCAGGCAGUCUCUGCAUGUAAGUGGCAAAGAUGACUGUCUGAAAAUAUAUACCUACUUUUUUAAAGGGCUAUCUCAAGCCAUUCUGGAGAAGCACCAAAAGCCACUUUGCUUAUACUGGGAGAAUAGUUUGCUUUCCCUAAUUUGUGAUGAGUGAAACACUGAACAGAGACAUAGAAUAAUAUUCUGUAGUUCAGGGUUGGUGUAAUAUGGCCAGUGGGCGGAAUCUGGUCCUCAGACUGAUUUUGCAAAUAAUCUUAUAGAAACACAGCAACACCCAUUCAUUACAUGUUGUUUAUGGUUGCUUUGGGGUUACAAUGGCAGAGUUGAGUAGUUGUGACAGAGAUCACUAGGCUCACCACAUCUGAGAUAUGUACUGACUGACCCUGUACAGAAAGUUUGCUGCUCUUAGAGGAAUGUGUGUUUCUAGUGUCAGCAAUAAACUUCUUGGAUUUGUUUUGUUUUCUCAUCUUUACAUGAUAGUUGCAGACUAGUUGAUCCUUGUGACCUGUUUUUGAAUGCCACUGUGUAUUCUGUCAGGGCCCUCUGAUUCUGUUUCUUAUGGUGCUGAAUGCACAAUUUAAUGCCCUGGAAUUUCCUUCUGUCUUCUGCUAAACUCAUGCCUCUUCAGAUAGUUAAAAUCCUGUUCUACCUUAGAAGUCUCCAGAGUUAUUUUCCUAAAUUAAGAAGAACUGGCUUUGAAGUUACUCAUUAUGCCACACACAAUGGUUGAAAAGAGCAUCUCUUAUGUACUGUGUAUAUUUCAGCAUCCACUCAGCUUCUUAGGUAGAAAAGGAAGAGUCUUCCACAGUGUAUUUUAUCCAUAUUUGGGUCAGAAACUCUUCUUUACCACGGAGCGUGAUGGAAGAAAGAUAUGGGAUGGUAACAGUAGGCCAGGGAUGUAAUAAUCACAAAAUUUGAGAUAUUUUGUGACUGGUGACUCACGCCUGUGAUCCCAGCAUUUUGGGAGGCCAAAGCGGGCGGAUCACCUGAGGUCAGGAGUUCAAGACCAGCUUGGCCAAUGUAGUGAAACCUCAUCUCUACUAAAAAAAUAUAAAAAUUAGCUGGGUGUGGUGGUGCACACCUGUAAUCCUAGCUACUCAGGAGGCUGAGGCAGGAGAAUAGCUUGAACCAAGGAGGUGGAGGUUGCAGUGAGCUGAGAUUGUGCCACCACUGCAUUCCAGUCUGGGUGACAGAGCGAGACUCUGUCUCAAAAAAAAAAAAAAAAAAAAUCUAGAAAAAGAUCUCCAAGAUUCAAUCAUCUAAUUAUUUCUUUUAAAAAUGAGAAAAAUGACUCCUGGUCAGCUUUUACCUUCUUUUUCCAACUGUCUUGACAAUACUUUCAUAUUGGGCUUUUAAAGUCUCAAGUAAUAGGUUUUUAAAACCUCAGCUGAUAAAAGUAUAAAAAUAAAGUUAAAACAUAUUAAAGACAAAACCCAAGAAUCAGCUUCCUCUUCCUUCAUUACUCUUGCAUGGGUGUUGGCUCUAAUUUCUCCAUCUAGUUAGGCAGUCCUUUGCUUUUUAUUGCUUGUUUAUUGAUGACAUUUGCCAUUUGUAGCAAUAGUAAUAGAAUCAUCUAUAUAUUUGUGGCCUUGUUGAAUGUAGAAAAAGGAUAGUGGCAUUUUCUAAUUGUGUAACCCUAUAACACCUUGACGGGGGACUACAGUUCAUAUGCUGGACCUUUUGUGUUUGUUCAUGGCGGGUGGGUUGCUUUAAUAUACUUAGCACAUUGUCCUAAUUGCCAUCCUUUUGGGGAGGGCUAUAUAUCCAAGCUAAUAUGGUAGCAUUUUUGUUUUAACAUAGAGCUGACCCAAGGUAGACGUAAGUGUUGUUCAUUUUUGCCUAAUACUAAUAAAAUUACCUAAUUGUUGAAGCUUGGAGCUUGAAUCUAGGCAUUUUAUUUCAUUUCAAGUACACCCUAGUAUUUUAAAGCAUAAAUAUCCUACUAUCCUCAACAACUUUAGAACAAAAAUAAAUAUUUUAACAAGAAAAAAGCAUGCCAUGACAAGCUGUAACUUAGUAAAGAAAGACAAGGAAUGGUCUCUAUAGACCGAGAAAAAAUAGGUCCUCAGAUAUAUUUAUACCAAAGGAAUGUUAUGAAUGUAAAAAACAGUUUGACUCCCCCCCCCCCGCCAAAAAAAAACUCCACAACCCUAUAUUUUGUUAUCACAAGACUGUUUUAGUGAAUAAAACAGUAUGAAUUGGUUUUACCUGUUUCCAUUUAAUACUUAUUAACUUUAUAAUCGUAUAGCCUGAGGGUUUUAACUUCAAGUACAGCAUGAUGACUAUAAUAGUUUUACACAAGGCAAAUGUGAAAAACAGAAGUAAUUUCUUUUAAAAAGUGUGAAAUAUCUAAAAGGUAUGACUUCAAUACAUCAACUCAGGUGAGACAGACAUGUAACUUCUUUUUCCAUGUUUAAACCUAAUAUUGCUUUUGUGCCUCUGAAGGCUCGGAGUUUCCAUGCCUUCUUAGGACAUGCCACCCUCUCCACACCUGGAUGUGUUCACCAACCCAGAAGCUCUUGGAACCCCAUCAUUUGGGGUUUUUAUGGAGUCCCCAUUAAGUAGGUAUGACUGAUUAAAUCACUGGCCAUUGGUGGUUGACUCAAUCUCCAGCCUCUCUUCCCUCUCUGAAGGUGAAGGGGUGGGAAGGUGAGGCUAAGUUCCAACCCUCGGAUCACAGGGUUGGUUCCUCUGCAACCAGGCUUCAUCGUGAAACAAUACAGGGCCCACCGAGAGUCACCCCAUUAGCAAACUCAGAUGUGAUUGAAAGGGGCUUAUUAUGAAUAUCAAAAGACAUUUCUCUUUCUCCUAUUACUCAGACAGUUACAAGGGUUUCAGAAGCUCUUGCACCAGGAACUGGGAACAAAGACCAAAUAUAUAUGUCUUCUUCUAUUACAAUGUCACAGGUGUGACAGAGUAGGUAAAUGGAGUCUCAGAGAGUCCCCAGAGUAUUCCAUGGAGCCACAAAAUGAAGAAUAAAUGGAUGGUUCUCCCCAUGAUCAAAAGUGGCCUGAAAAUACUUGAGAAUGAGUCAUAACUUAAAAGGCUGUAUAGUAGAAAAGAAUGCACAGAGGACCGAAUGUAAAAGAAGGCACCCCAGUCUCAGCUAGUGUGGAUGCAUGCCAGUGUAGAAAGAUGCUAGUGUGGCUACAUUGGUGCACUGAAGACCAAACUCCUGCAUGGCCCCACAUCCUUGAUACCUUAGAUCUAUAUCAUCCCCUAAAACUUAGGUGUUAUGACAUUCAGGAUAUGCUACCCCAUCAUUUUUUAGGCUGAAGGAAUUUGAGAAAACAGAAGCAGGAAUGUAAUUGCCCAGUGGGUUCUUCCUGCCCUGUGCACAGACAAAACCAGUUCACUGAGACCAUGGUAUUGCAGUUAAGAAAGAGUUUAACAGGAGGCUGGCCACAUGGAAGAAUUACAGUUAUUACAAAUUAGUCUCCCUGAAGGCUCAGAGGUCAGGGUUUUUCAUGGAUAGUUCGGUGAGCAGUGGAUUAGGGGUAAGUGCUGCUGAUUGGUUGGGGAUACAAUCAUAGGGGUGUGGAAAAUGGUCCUUGUGUGCUGAGUCACCUCUGGGUGGGAGGCCAUGGGACCCAUUGAGUCAUGAGUCACGAGGCUGGGUUGGGUCAGUGUGAAAAACAUCUCAAAAGACCAAUCUUAGGUUCAAAAUAGGUGAUAUUACCUGUAGGAGCAAUUGGGAAAGUUAUAAAUUAUAUGACCUCUUGGCCCCAUGACUUCUGAGCAGUAAGAGAUGAUAGAAACUAAACCUACAUUUUAUCAGCACUCAGGCCUCUUCCAUAAUCCUAAUCUUGUGGCCUUUCGUUAGUCUUAUAAAGGUGGUUUGGUAACUGCCCUCAAGCAAGGAGGGGAUCAGUUUUAGGGAGGUGCUAUUAUCAUCCUUGCUUCAAAGUUAAGCUGUAAACUAAAUUCCUCCCAUAAUUAGCUUGGCCUACACCCAGAAAUGAGCAAAGACAGCCAGCCUGUGAUGUUAGAAGCAAGAUGGAGUUAGUCAUGUUAGAUUUCUCUCACUGUCAUAAUCUUUGCAAGGGAGGUUCCAGGAAGGUCAUCCUACCUUUCCCCUCACCCUUCUCAUGUGACACAGGUCAUAAAGCCUAGGAAGGAUUUUCCGACCUUUCCCUGAAGCAGGUCGUAAGACCCUCAUUGGGGAGGUGCCAUUUCUAGACCAAGAGAAAAGGCACAUCCUUAUGUCUGAAGACACAGGGACACAGAGAAGAAUCUGAACAAACAGGUCUUGCUAAGUUCCCCCCAGUUUGUUUUCAUUAGAUCAUGCCCCUUUAUUCAAUGCUGUUUCUCCACAACUAUCCAUUUCUUCAUCAAGCCUAGCAUAAAAAAUACAGGUUUCACGGUUUCUUUGGGUCUUCAUUUCCUUAUAAAGUCUCCUGUACCAUGUAAAACUUAAAUAAGUUUCUCUGCUUUUCUCUUGUUGAUUCUGUCCUUUGUUUUAUAACCCUCAGACAUGAACCUAGUGAUGAGUGAGGGGAAGAUAAUUUAUUUUCCUCUACAGAUGCAAAAGGGAAAAGGGAACAAUCCCUAAACGGAAGUUAUGAUCCAGGGAUCAGAGGCUCAAAAGCAAGAUUAGGUUUAAAUGUAGAAAAAUACAUUCCUCUUUCAUUUUAGAUAUCCCAAAUGCCCAAAUCAACCCAGCUAUUUCUCAGAAGUCUGUUUCCCCUCCACCCUCUGCUCCUCUGUGUAGUGAAACUGUCUCGUUUGGGAGUAAAAUGGCCUGGCUUUCCUUACUGAGUAUACUCUCAAGACUAUUGCCUAUUACUUUUUUCCAUUCCUUCUUGAGAACUACGCUUUUUAAAACAAGAAUUGACUCCAUUUAUCUUUUUCUUUUAGCCUUCUGCUGGGGUAUGCCUUCUCUAAAGCAAUGAAUAAAAAAUGCUUUAGCUGAAUAAAUGGGGCAAGGAUCAAGGAGUACAAGCUAAUAUUUCACAAUAUUAUCCUGCCAUAAAUAAAAGUAUGGUUUAAAUGACAAUGGUGGGGUUAGGAGUUACAGGUCACUGAAACACCACCUUAUUCAUGCUACCAGCCCCUUGGCUUUCCUGAUGGCAGCAGGGAAGCAACACAUAGGUAGAAUUAUGAGCCAACAUCGUGACUGGAGAGGGAUUGAAAAUCUUAUUUGUUGUCUUCCUAGACUAUUACAGUUAUCUGUUGAAAUUAGACUCAAUUCUUUGGCGAAAGUACUCAUUUUUAAGGUCCAUAAUAAAUUGUAACUAUGUAGCCUUUGUUGCAUGAGUUUAGUAUGAGCUGAUUGGUGGGCCACAGUGAAAGGCAGAGGGAAAUGGAUGUUAACUAAGAGGUAGAAGUCCCCUUGAAGUUCUGACCCUGUCACUAAUGAAGUCUUUAUUUCCGUAUUUAGUAAUUGCCUUUUUUUUUUUUUUUUGAGACAGAGUCUUGCUCUGUCGCCAGGAUGGGGUACAGUGGCACAGUAUCUGCUCACUGCAACCUCCGCCUCCCAGGUUCAAGCAGUUCCCCUGCCUCAGCUUCCUGAAUAGCUGGGACUACAGGUGUCUGCCGCCAUGCCUGGCUAAUUUUUGUAUUUUUAGUAGAGACGGGGUUUCACUAUGUUGGCCAGGAUGGUCUCGAUCUCCUGACCUCGUGAUCUGCCCACCUCAGCCUCCCAAAGCUAGGAUUACAGACGUGAGCCACCAUGCCCGGCCAACUGCCUUCUUUAUAUCUCAUUUUAAAAAUUUAUAACAAAGAAGUGGGUUGAUUUUCAAGACCUAGUUGUGUUAGUUUGAAUGAGAUGCAUACAUUUGGCAAGUCUGGGGUCUAAGAAAAGAUAAAGAUCUGAAUGCUGAAAAUCUAGAGAAUUCAGGUUACUGGGGGAUAACUUAAAGUCACUAGGGAAUUCGGGUUACUGGGGGGAUAACUUAAGGUCACUAGGGAAUUCGGGUUACUGGGGGGAUAACUUAAGGUCACUAGAACCCAAAUGCAGGGAAGAGUUGGGUGCUCUUUGGCAAAUAAACAUUCCUGACUUAGCAUUUUUCUUAAACCCGAACGUGCCAGCUGUUUUUUUGUUUUUUUGUUUUUUUGUUUUGUGACCUCAGCCAGGCUUGCGUGUUUAUUCAUCACAUAUUCUAAGCUCAUAUACAACUGUGACCUGAUCCAGCCUUCAAGGAACUCACUCUUGAUUUUAGGAAUCUUUCCACCACUUCGAUUUCAUCUUACUCCUGAAACAGUCAGCCAGAACUGUCUAAUUCAGUCUAUACUUCUGAUACAAAACUCUACCCAGCAACCACUAUGGUUUUGUUGCUUUAGGUACGUGUUAGAAAGCACCCACAUCAAUUUACAGAAAAUCCUUAACUGAAUCUCUAGUCCCAGAGGAGUCAUAUUUUAUUAUAUGGUGCUUUUUAUUUAAAGAGAUCGGUUUAAUAGAAAUUACUCAGGCAUUUGAAGUGAUAGCUUUAAAAUGUGGGACUGGGGAAAAUAAGAACACUUGACCUCUCUCCAUAAAAUUGAAUUGUUCUUUAGGUUUAAAGUUUUGACAGACAAAGAGAAAGUGAGAGCAAGUGAGGGUGAAAAUAUAUCCUUAUUUGGUAAUGAGUACCCAUUAAGAGGACAGUAUAUUACAUUUCAUCUUCUUACUUCACAUUCCUGUUUUAAGGAUUUGUGAGCAAAGUGCUGUGAGACCUCUAGAGUUAAGAGGCUGGAGAUAGGUAGUUUUGAUGGUAUUUUAAGGAGUGCUCCAUAAUGUGUAGUGUCUGAGUGCUGAAGCUUAAUCAGCUUCAAUUAAAUCCAAAACAUACUGAAUAGCUCCUAUGUGUCUGGCAUUGAGCUGUGUGCCAAAGUGGUGGAAAGAUGUAAGAGCCACUGAGGCUUAGAGAUGAAAAGGAUCUUGGAGCCACUGGUUUCCUGCCUGCUGGAGUUUCACCAUCAAGGACCCUUUCGUUAUUUUCCUUCUCCCAUGCAUUUUAUUAAAAUUUUUGGUUUAGUAAACCAAAUUCACUAAUGGGAUGUUAUUUUCAUAUCAAAGAGUAUAAUUCUGCCAAUCAAGGCUUCUGAUCAGCAUAAAAUAAUUAGGUUUCAUACUGAAUGCACAAAUUCUAGUCAAAAGCAAAGCCAUUUGAUGACAUGUCUGCUAUGUUGCCAUUUGCUUUAAGAGAGGUAAAGGUAGCCUGACUUCUGUUCACUCUGUAGUACAGAAUACAUUGUUAACAAGUCAUAGGUAUGUUCUUUUAGGUUUCUAAUUACUGUCAGCCUCUCAUUUCAGACAGGUGAUGUGAUAAGGUGAAAUGAUUACUAUAUUUAGACUCAAAAGUCCUGAGUUUGAGUCCUCGUUUAACGAUCUAGUCCAUGAGCUUCAGUUUUCUCACCUGUUAAAUGGAAAUGAUGAUUAUUUCCUGGAAAUUGCAUUUCCAGGUUGUUUUGAAUGAUAAAUGAUAUGGUGUAUAUAUCAGCUGUUUGCAAACCAGAAAAAGCUAUUCUAUGGUAAACACAUGCAGUGGGCUGAAUUGUGUCUCCCAAAAUUCAUAUGUUGAAGUCCUCACCCCCAGGGCCUCAGAAUGUGACUGUAUUUGGAUCUAGGGUCUUCAAGAGAUAACUAAGUUAGAAUGAGGUCAUUUGGGUUGAUCCUAAUCCAACUGACUGAUAUCCUUAUAAGACGACGAAAUUUGGAUACAGAAAUACACAGAAGACAGGGAGAAGAUGGCCAUCUACAAGCUAAGGAGAGAGGCCUCAGAAGAAACACACCUGCCACACCUUGAAUUUGGACUUCUAGCCAUCAGAACUGUGGGAAAAUAAAUUUCUGUUGUUUAAGCCAGGAGUCCUCAACCCCCGGGCUGUGGACCUGUACCAGUCGGUGGCAUGUUAAGGACUGGGCUCCACAGCAGGAGGUGAGUGGUGGGCGAGUGAGCAUUACUGCCUGAGCUCCACCUCCCGUCAGAUCAGCAGUGGCAUUAGAUUCUCAUAGGAGCACAAACCCUAUUGUAAACUGAGCACGCAAGGGAUCUAGGUUGUGCGCUCCUUACGAGAAUCUAAUGCCUGAUAAUCUGAGAUUGAACAGUUUUAUCCCCAAACCAUCCCCUCCACCACCCCCGUGGUCUGUGGAAAAAUUGUCUUCCACAAAACUGGUCCCUGGUGCCGAAAAGGUUAGGGACCAGCGGCUCAAGCCACCCAGCCUGUGGUACUUUGUUACGGUAGCCCUGGCAAAUGAAUACAACACGUUUUAGACUAUGAUGUUACACAUGCAGUGUGUUGAGAGCCAAAGAACCCAAAUGAUUCGUGGUAUCUGCCCUUGAAGAGUUUUUAAUCUUUUUGGGCAUGAUGAAACAUACACAUGGAAAAUAAAAUAGCAUAUAACCAAGUGCCCAAAUCAGUAAUAAAUACAGUUGACUCCAUAAACAUUUAGGAACCUUCUAUCCCAUGUUUCCACAUUCUAUCCCAGUGGCUUUUGCCACUAAAUUUCUUCACCCACUAUUAGACUGAUGUUUUCAUCUUUCAGUAUCAGACUCAAGCUUUAAUCUAGAAAGAGGGGGUGGGGGGAUAAAUGCUAUACUUUGGAACCAGUCCGGAUAUUUUAAGUAUGUUUUUAAAAAGUAUAAUCCUCACAACAUGAAAGUUAUUAGUUCUAUUUUUCAGGUGAGAAGAGUUAAGGUCAAACAGACGAAAGCUAGUUAGUGGAGGGACUGGUAUUCCAAGCCCAUUCUGGUUAAACUAAAUCUUGUGUUCUUUCCACUAGAAAACUGCUUUUUGUCUUAAUUAUAAUUUUGUGACAAGGAUGUAUAGUCCAUUAAGGAAUAUAUACAACAGAAGAAGCAUUUAAGUGGACUUGAGGUUUGUGAAUCUGAACUAGUUUCUAUCGACUUUCACAUCAGCAGCUCCUAUUCUGGGGAAAGAGAAUGGAGGCUGGGAGUGAUCCUGACAAACCUUGAUGUGCAGGCUUGUGGAGAAACUGGAUUCACACCCAGGCUCGUGGAGUGUGGGAGAGGCUGGCCUGUCACAAUAUCAGGACAGCCUCUCUUAAUAACACUGCAGAAGGAAUCGAGGGCCCUGUGGUUUGCGUUUGUUAGACUUUGGAUGGUGGAGACCUGUGCCUGCUACUUCUCUCAUCUCCUGAUACCUAAUGCAUAGUGUUCAGUAAGUAUUUAUUUGGUGAUAACAAUAUCAAAAACUAGAUAAUGCUUAGAAGAUCCAACACCUUCCAAAAUCUCUGUUAACCAGGUACUGAAAUAUGGUCAACCAGAUGAGCUGAAAUGUCAAGAACUUAUAGACACACAUGGUUUCAUGGUUGUGAAACUAGAAGAUGUGGCAUAUUUUACACAAUGGAGGGAAGAGCAAAGGUUAUGCAUGUGCGGAGGCAGAGCCCCUAGGCAGGUUUCCCUCUUUUCCUUCCUGUGCACUGAUUUUUAUUUUGGUGAACUGAAACAGGGGUCUAACAAACUGGUAUCUCAUUUGUCUUUAUAAACAGAACUGCCAGAUUGGCUUUGCAAUUCAGGGCCCUGUAGGGUGCCCACCUCCUCAGUUUGGGCAGCAGCAUUACAUCUGAGUCUUAGAAUAAAAAUGGAAAGCAAUGGCUCAACCCAUUGGUUUGUCACCAUCCACAUGAAGGAUCUCUAUUGGUAAAAAAACAGACUCCCGUGUUCAAGGCCCUGGGGCUGGAAUCAAAUCCAUCAUUCAUUUAUUUCGGUUUUUUAAGGCUAAAUACAUAGGGAAGAAAAUGAAAUGUGAGAAAGCUGUGCAUUUUCAAUGUCAUCUUGAAAGUGAGUAUCUUUAGACACAUAAAGUAGAUGAGUGGUUAACUUGGGCUGGGAGAGGGAGUGAGGAGUGGUUGUACAUGGCACAAGGUUUCUAUUUAGUGUGAUUGAAAUGUUCUAUAAUUUGAUUGAUGAUUGUACAGUUCUGUAAAUAAACUAAAAUGUAUUGAAUUGUAUAAUUAAAACAUGCAGAUUUUAUAUUUAAAAUAUACUUUGAUAAAAGUGUUUUAAAAAUGAAUAUCUCAUAGGGUAGAAUGAAAUGAAUAAGAGAAACAGUGAGGCAUCCAGGGGACUUUCUGCACAGUGGGUCUGUCAUUAGGCAGGUACGUUGCCACAGCCAGUUCUAAUGCCCACUCAUAGGCCAAUGCCUAGGACAAUUGCUCAGAUAUCGCCUCUGACAGGCAAGUGUUCCAUCAGUAACAGCAGGCAUCGGAAGAUGAUGCCAUUCCCUGCUGUUAGUAUGAUUAUAUUGACUUAGGUUUUUAAUUUUCUUUCUUGCUGUGUUUUUUUUUUUUCACCUUCUUAGCCUCUAAAGCAUGAACAUCUGUGUUUUUCAG
rnacentral:lncRNA from 10 species